UUCUUUUCUUCGAGGGGAAACACGCUUUUGAUUUUCUGACUACGCCAACAACCAUUUCUGGAACGUUCUAGCUCUUCAUCUCCUUCCCCUCGAACCCAUUAAAACUCCAUACUCUGUCGUCAAUGCCCUGAAUCCAUAUGGCUUUGGAUACCGACUCACUCACUCCCCCAAAACUAUCCCUUUCCGAUACAGAGAUCGACUGGUCUAGGUUGGACAAGACAAGAUUUCAUGUUAUCGGGGCUGUCCUCUUCACAGUGCAGCAAGGAUUAAUACAUCCGACGGCUGUCGUCAAGACAAGAAUGCAAGUGGUUGAUUCUAGGUUCUCCAAUAUGCCUGGAAUUCUUGUGUUCAAGCAUAUAUUGAGACAUGAUGGUAUCCCUGGCAUUUUUCGAGGUUUUGGAACAUCAGCCAUUGGAUCAUUGCCUGGUAGGGUUCUGGCUUUGACGUCCCUUGAAAUGUCAAAAGAUUUGAUUUUGAAGUAUACCCAAGGCUGGAAUAUGCCUGAAACAACUCGUAUUGGCCUUGCAAAUGGGGUGGCUGGCUUGUUUUCCAGCUUGAUCUCUUCCCUCUACUUUGUGCCAUUGGAUGUGAUAUGCCAGAGACUUAUGGUGCAAGGACUGCCUGGAGCAACGUUUUACACUGACCCUUUUGAUGUAGCCCGGAAAGUGAUAAAAGCUGAAGGAUUUCGUGGACUGUAUCGAGGUUUCGGAUUAACAGCUUUGACUAAUUCCCCGGCAACUGCACUUUGGUGGGGUGCCUAUGGUGCUGCCCAACGGAUCAUUUGGAGGAGCCGGGGUUAUAGAGAUGACUCAGAUAAGAAGCCCUCUCAUGUGGAGAUGGUAGCUGUGCAGGCCACUGCAGGAAUGGUAGCUGGUGCUUGUUCCUCUGUUAUCACCACUCCCAUUGACACCGUAAAGACACGGCUGCAGGUCAUGGAUGAUUACGGUGCUGCGAGACCGUCAGUACUCAAGACUACAAAGACACUCUUGAAGGAAGAUGGGUGGUGGGGUUUCUACCGGGGCUUCGGUCCUCGGUUCCUAAAUAUGUCACUUUAUGGAACUACGAUGAUCGUUACGUAUGAACUGAUAAAGAGGUUAUCUAUAAAGAACAGUUAAUGUUCUUCAACCGCGGAUCUGAUCCUGGGAGCUUUUUCUACUUCAUCUAAGGGCAUUUCAGACAUGGAAUGAAGCAGCUGUAAUUGGAGACUCAAGGGUUCCUUUUUGUCAAUUGUAGUAUGCGAGAAGGCGAAAAUCAUUCUUUUUGUGGUCAUAAGGAAUGCUGAACAUGUGUGUUAAUGGAAGCAGAGUAUAUGUUUCUAACAGUCAUUGUAUUCGCACUUA